CCGUUGGAAGGAAGCACUGUCCUUCCCUUUUUCUUCUGCUAAUUGGUCAGUCAUUUUGACAAACAGACAGAGUCACUGCUUUGUUUCCCAUUUCUAUCAUUAGCAGCCACUGUUAUGUUGAUCAGACUCAGAGUAGUUUAGUUAUCUGAGAAACCAAAUGGGAAGGCUUAGAGUCAAAUCCGACUACGAAACUCUUAGGAACGCUCGCAUCGUUGAGAACCAGGCUCGAUUAGCUUCUCUGGGACUGCACAAAACCAUCUCCGAGCUCCGAUCGAUUGUUUCUUCUGCAAUAUCAGAGAAAACCCAGCUCAGAAAAUGGCAAAAGAAAGACUACGAAAUCACGCCUUUGCGCCGCUCCAAUCGUUUGAAACGAACUCCUGCUGCCUCAACUCGCACAAGCAAUUUUUUGCGGCGCUCUAGCCGGCUCAGAGGUAGUGACAUUGGCGAAGAAAAUGGGAGUAAUUCAUCUUCGGGCGAAGGUGAAGAAAAAAGGCCUGCAAAUGCGCCAUUGGUGAAGACAUAUGGUGCCAGGAAUCAAUUAUCGCCUGAGGAUUCUGCUCGGCGCUGCCGUCGCAAGGAGGGGAGGGGCAGCGUUUACAACUCUGUUUUUGGAAUUUGCUGCCAUUUCUGCAGGCAAAAGACAUUGUGUGCUGAGGAAGACUGCAAGCGAUGUGGUAAUCUUGAUGUAAAUCAGCCGUGCACAGGAAAGACAGAUUGUUCAGUUUGUCACUCUAGCAAUGGUGUUCUCUGCCGGGCUUGUCUCAAGCUCAGGUACGGUGAAGAACUGGAGGAGGUAAGAGAAAAUAAGGAAUGGAUGUGCCCUCACUGCAUAGAAGAAAAAGGGAUUAACCCUUAUUGGAUAUGUAACAGUUCAAUAUGCUUGAAGAAUCGAAGGAUGGCUCCAACUGGCAUAGCAAUAUACAGAGCACUGGAGCUGGGAUACAAAUCCGUUGCACAUCUGCUGAUGGAUGAGCUUCAGCGUAGAGAUCCUUCUUGAUUGAGAUGCAGCCAGUCACUAACAGCCUAACAAGUACUUACAGCUUCCCUUUUAGAACCGUACGUUUCAAUGCAUACUAGCUAACCUGUUGAGAGACAAGGACAAGAAGCCCUUGAGGCCCAAGGAGGAUCUCGUUAAGGAAACUGACCAAUCCGAACCACACUACAGGAGUUACAUCCACUCCUCCAAGAGGUGGAAUCAACUUUCUGGUUGCCAUAAGAAAUGGUUCAGUGGGAGCAUAAGCAAUGACAUAUGGAAAUUUCUCCAGUGGAAGCUUAGGGUACCAAGACAUCACUAUUCUCAAAAUAAAUAGGAAGGCAAAUGCUGAGAGAAAGGGCCCUAAAAUACUAAUUGCCAGUUUAGCUGUGGCAGGA